rnacentral:lncRNA from 10 species
CGCUGCCCUACCAGCCCACUCCUGAAGUAACUCAUGGAAAUACUUCAGGAAGUACUCUCUGCGGGGACAUGGAAUCAUCUCAGAUCCCGCAGGAGGUGGGAAUUGAGGCAUCUGGGAUGACUUCUGAAUUCCUACAAGAAUUACGAGACACUUAGGUUUGGACAUGCUGGGACUGAGGUGUCUUGGGACAUCCAGAUGGUCUUGCUCUGUUGCCCAGGCUGGAGUGCAGUGGCACAAACAUGGCUCCCUGCAGCCUCAACAUCCCAGCUCAAAGCAUUCCUCCCACUUCAACUUCCUGGGUAGCUGGGACUACAGGUACACGCCACCACACAUAGCUACUUUAAAAAAAAUUUUGUAGAAAUGGGGUCUCCCUAUGUUGCCCAGGCCUGUCUCAAACUCCUGGGAUCAAGCAAUCCUCCCGCCUCGGCUUCCCAAAAUGCCAAGAUUACAGGCGUGAACCACCACGUCCAGCCCCUAUCUUCCAUUGUUUUACUUUCAACAUUUUAACAUCCUUAAAUUUUAAAUGUCUUUUAUAAAUGGCAUAUAAUUAUUUUAAAACUCUAGCUGCCCAAAGUGGUGAUUUAAUUGAAGCAUUUAGUCCACUUACCUUUAAGAUAAUUGUUGAUAUACUAGGGUAAAUAAUAAACAUUUCUACCAUGUAUCUCCCGUAAAGAGAGAAAAAUUUUCCUUGGGAAGAAAUGAAGGAUAUUAUAUUGAUGCCAUCUACUGAAAAAAUUAAAAAACUGAAAAACUACUCCAAGUAACAUUGUUUCCGUUAAGCAAACUUUUAAAAAGCUUUUGUUCAAGGUUUCAACUAUGUUAUUGUAUUGGAUAAACACAUUCUGCCUUCAGCUAUUCAUAGAUUUCUAUCUUUUCCAACCUGUUAGGGUAAAAAUGGAGCUGUCAUGAACUCUUUGUGUCUUAGGAGGUAAAAAGCUCCCCAACUCUAUCUAGUUUGCCCACACUAGAUAGAGUCUCCCUCUAUUGCCCAGGCCGGAGUGCAGUGGUGCGAUCUUGGCUCACUGCAACCUCUGCCUCCUGGGUUCAAGCGAUUCUCCUGCCUCAGCCUCCCAAGUAGCUGGGACUACAGGCACACGCCACCAUGCCCAGCUAAUUUUUGUAUUUUUUGCAGAGACGGGGUUUCACCAUGUUGGCCAGGCUGCUGUCAAACUCCUGACCUCAAGUAAUCCACCCACCUUGGCCUCCCAAAGUGCUGGGAUUUCAGGUGUGAGCCACUGUGCCCAGCUUUGAGUGUUUUAUUGAACUUAAUUUUUUAAGUAAAGACUGGGUUCUUGCUAUGUUGCCCAGGCUGAUCUUGAACUCCUAGCCUCCAGAGAUCCUCCUGCCUUGGCCUCUAAAGUGCUGAGACCACCAUGCCUGGCCCCAAUUUGAGUUUUCAAAGUACUAGUUUGAUGAUCAUUUAUCACUUACUUUGUGACAGGAACCCGAAUAUGCUAAUAAUAAUGAAGCUACAUAGCUUUUUUAUUGAGCACUUACUAAGUAUCAGGUACGGUCCUAGGCACUUUACAUGUAUUACCUUGCUUAAUCCUCACAAUUUCCCUAUAAUUUUGGCAUUAAGAUCCCCAUUUACCAGGAAACUGAGGCACAGACAGCUUAAGUAACUGGUCCAAGAUCACAAACUAGAUAAGAGUUACAGUUGGAAUUUAAACCAAGAUAGUCUGACUCUGUGCUCUUAGCCAUUCCCUUAUACUGCUACUGAGAUGCAGUGCCCUCUCCAAUACAAAGGGUAUGAGUUCAAGUAUCAUUUACGAGUAUGUUUGCUGUGGCAUAAUGUAGAAUGCAAAGUAAACAGAAAAAAAAAGGUACUCUAGGGAAGGUCUGUAGAUUUUAAUAAAAUUAUUAAUAGCUUUAGGUGGGUUCUCCUAUCCAGUAGUAACAGGAUGAUAGCUGUAUCGCUGGGCUACUAGGCCUUUCAUUUAAGUACUUCAGGGAAUCACUCAUGCAAAUAGAAUUUUCUGCUAAAUAGUUAUUUCUGGGAAUUAUUUGUGCCUAGUAAAAUUUUAUAGACUCACAGAUCUGGAAGGUCCCUUAGAGAUCUAUUAUUCCAGACCACUCAUUUAUAAUAUUAACAAUUAUCUUUGAAGGUGGUUUUGUUUGUUUGUUUGUUUUUUGAGACAGUGUCUUACUCUGUCAUCCAGGCGUACAGUGGUGUGAUCACAGCUCACUGCAGCCUUGAACUCCUGGGCUCAGGUGAUCCCCCUACUUCAGCCUCCUGGGUAGCUGAGACUACAACAGGCACAUUCAGCUAAUGUUUUGUAUUUUUCGUACAGACAAGGUUUUGCCAUGUUGCCCGGGCUGGUCUCAAACUCCUGGACUCAAGCUAUUCUGCCAUGGCUUCUCAAAGUGCUAGGAUUACAGGCAUGAGCCACCACACCUGGCCUGGAGGUGGUAUUUUAAGGGCCUUUUUCUUUUUUUUAUUUAUAUGGUGUUUAAUUUUUUAUAAGAACACAUCACACAUAGUCAGAAAAAUAAACUUAAAGAUGGUUAUUUCUGCUAAGACAAGUCAAUGAAGGAAAAAAUAGUCAUUUCAACAAAUGGUGCUGGAACAACUGAAUAUCCACAUGCCAAAGAAUGAAUCUGGACUCCUACCUCAAACUAUACUAACUCAAAUCAUAGACCUAAAUGUAAAAAUUAAAACUGUAAAACUCUUAGAAUGUAGGAGUAAAUCUUCAUGAUCUUAGGUUGGGCAAUGGUUUCUUAGGUACAAACCAAAGGCACAAUCAACAAAAGAAAGUAUAGAUAAAUUGGACUUCAUCAAAAUUAAAAACUGUGUGUUGCAAACAAUGUCAUCAAGAAAGCAAAAAAAAAAAAAUCCAUGAAUAGGAGAAAAUAUUUGCAAAUCAUAUAUAUGAUAAAGUACUUGUAUCCAGAAUAUAUAAAGAACUCUUAUAAUUCAUUAACAAAAAGACAAUUAACCCAGAUUAAAAAUGGCAAAGGAGGUGAAUAGAAAGAUAUUCUAUUCUUUCUAUUCAAUAUUCUUCAGAAGAUAUUGAAGUAUAUUCAAUAUCUUCUUUUAUUGGCUUCUUUUUUAUCUCCAAAGAAGAUACAAAAAAUAGCCAGGCUGGGCACUGUGGCUAACGCCUGCAAUCCCAACACUUUGGGCAGCUGAGAUGGGUGGAUCACUUGAGUCCAGGAGUUCAAGACCAGCCUGGGUGACAUGGCAAAACCCUGUCUCUACAAAAAAAAAAAUUAGCCAAGCAUGGUGGCCUUGCCUGUAGUCCCAGCUACUCAGGAGGCUGAGCCAGGAGGAUUGGUUGAGCCCAGGAGGUGGAGGUUUCCAUGAGCCAAGAUCAUGUCACUGCAUUCCAGCCUAGGUGAUAGAGUGAGAACCCAUCUCAAAAAAAAAAAAAAAAAAAAAAAGAGGGAGAGAUAGCCAAUAAGCACAUGAAAAGAUGUUCCAUAUUAUUAGCCAUUAGAGAAAUGCAAAUCACAAGAGACCACUUAACACCCACUAGGAUGGCUAUAUUUAAAAAGACAGAUAAAUGUUGUUGAGGAUGUGAAGAAAUUAGAACCCUUAUUCAUUGCUGGUGGGUAUGAAAAUGGUGUAGCUACUUUGAAAAACAGUUGGCACUUCCUCAAAACGUUAAACAUAGUUAUUAGAUGACCCAGCAAUUCCACUCUUAGAUAUAUACGCAAUAGAAAAAAAAACAUAUAUCCACAUAAAAAUGAAAUGUUCAUAGCAGCAUUAUUCAUAGUAGAUAAAAAGUGGAAAGACUUAAAUGUCCAUCAGUUGAUGAAUAGGUAAAUACAAUGUAGUAUAUCCAUACAAUGGAAUAUUAUUAUACUUAGCAAUAAAAAGUAAUGAAGUACUGAUACAUGCUUUAACAUAAAUGAACCUGGAAUACAUUAUGCUAAGUGAAAGAAGCUAGUCACAAAACAGCAUAUAUUGUAUGAUUCCAUUCAUAUAAAAUGUCCAGAAUAGGAAAAUAUAUAUAAAUAGAAAGUAGAUUCAUGGUUGCCUAGGGCUGGGGUGUGUGUUGGGGGCAUGGGGAGUAACUGCUAAUGGUCAAGGGGAUGAUGGAAAUGUUCUAAAAUGUUCUUUUGGGAAUGAUGAGAAUGUUCUAAAAUCAGACUGUGGCGAUGAUUGUACAACUCUGUAAAUGCUCUAAAAACCAUUGAAUUGUACACUUUAUAUGAGUGAAUUGUAAGGUCUAUGAAUUAUAUCUUAAUAAAGCAGUUAAAGGAAAAAUGGCUAUUCCAUUAAACUGGAAUAGCAAUAUGAUUUAAGAUGCCAUUCUAUCUAUUCAUUAUUAAACAUUGAGGUUAAUUUCAGUUUUUCACUCUGCUAAAUAAUAGUGUAACCAAGCACGCCAUUACAAAGAACUUUUUACUAAAGCUGCUAUAAAUCUAAUAAAUAUGUGAUGUCACUAAAGUCACCUACCUCACUUUAAGGUUACAAAUCUGUCAAUACUUUACAGAUGUAAAUAAAUGGUAUCUUCCACACAAUUCUCACCCAUAGACCAAGGUCAACAGCUUGCCCUUAAACCUCAAUUAUAAUUGGUUUGGCAAUAAUAGACAAAAAUAUAGUGACUUAAACAAAACAGAAGUUUGUUUGUCUGUCACAUAAGUCUAGAGGUAGGCAGCCCAAGGCUGGGAUGGCAGAUUUCUACACAAUAUCCUCAGGAUCUCAGGCUCUUUUCAGUCCACUGCUUUGCCAACCCUAGGGUAUGGUUCUUGCUCUUAUGGACUGAAAUGGUAACUACCACAUCCUCUAAGUAACAGGCUGAAAGAACACAGAAAGAAUGGGAGUGGAAGGAAAGGGAGACAAAGAGUAUGUGCCAAGGCCUUUAAGAAAAGUUCCCGGAUUCCAUUUCUUCUGUAUAUCCAUUGGCUAAACCACUGUGACAGCCAUACUUAAUUUCAAGUGGAACUGAGAAUAUAUUCUUUAUUCUUGGUAGCAUGUGCUUAGAUAGAAAUUAGGGGUUCUGGGGCCAGGUGUGGUAGCUCAUGCCCAUAAUCCCAGCACUUUAGGAGGCUGAGACAGGAGGAUUGCCUGAGCCCAGGUGUUUGAGACCAGCCUAUAGGCAAUAUAGUGAGACCCUGUUUCUAGAAAAAUAUUUAAAAAUUAGCCAGGUGUAGUGGUAUAUGCCUAUAGUCCUAGCUACUUGAGAGGCUGAGGUGGGAGGACUGCUUGAAUCCAGGAGUUCAAGGUGAUUGCACCACUGCACUCCAGCCUGGUGAAACAAGAAAGAAAAGAAAAGGAAAAGAAGAGAGAGGAAGGAAGGAAGGAAGGAAGGAAGGAAGGAAGGAAGGAAGGAAGGAAGGAAGGAAGGAAAUUAGGGGUUCUAUAUCAUUAUGGAAAAAAGAGAAACAGACAUUCAGAAAUUAACUGGCAGACUUGGCCAAUGACUCAUAAUGUAUCUAAUUACAGAAAACACUACCAAAAGCUAGAAAAAAAAUCUAGUCACAAAGGAUGAAAUAACUAAGAUGAACUACACACUAAAUUAAACAGUUUAGGAAAUGACUAUGCUUAAUACUUGAAAGCAUCAGAGAAGACAUGCUUUCAAAAGGAUGGAGAAAUAAAAGUUCUAAAGUGAGGAGAACAUUUUUUUCUUUUUUUUUUCUUUUUUUGAGACGGAGUUUCCCUCUGUCUCCAGGCUGGAGUUCAGUGGCACGAUCUCGGCUCACUGCAACCUCUGCCUCCCAGGUUCAAAGGAUUCUCUGGCCUCAGCCUCCCGAGUAGCUGGGAUUAUAGGCAUUUGCCGCCACGACCAGCUAAUUUUUGUAUUUUUAGUAGAGACUGGGUUUCACCUUGUUGGCCAGGAUGGUCUCAAUCUCCUGACUUCGUGAUCCACUCACCUUAGCCUCCCAAAGUGCUGGGAUUACAGGUAUGAGCCACUAUGCCUGGCCAGAGAACACUUUUAAUAAGGAUAGUCAGAGGCAUUAUCC